GACCUGAAUUCUCACUAUGAUUCGCUAAAGAACGAAGGCUUCUGCAUGGAUAUAGUGGACAUGAUGAAUCUUACCAGAGCGAUGUGGAGUUCGGAACUUAAGUGCUGUCUGGAACGCAAACAGCCUGAGUGGUUGUUUCUGGUAUCGUCCUGCGUGUUCACGUGUUUGCCGUUUGUCUUCUACUUGGCCGCGUUCAUGUUCGUCACCAGCAAAGAGCAAACGCUGCUGAAACAGAGAAGAUUACAAGAAAAUUUUAACACCGGAGCCCACUACAGCGGUUUCGUGGGUGAUUGACUACCUAGCUACUGACUAAACCUAGUUUUAAACUAUUCAAAACAUAUUUUUAAUUGUUUAAGGGUAUAUCGUCAAGAAUGUUUUCUCUUACAUAUUGGACUAUUUUUAAACAUUUGACAUUAACCUCUAAGACGUCAAACAGGCUUUAUAAAAUUAGUGAUAGUUUAUUGUAUUUUGUAAUAUUCUACUGUAGCUGCAUUUUAAACUACAAUGUUUCCGGUAUAAAAUAUGUUUCAUUAGUUGGAUUGUUUGGUGAACUAAAAUCAUUCUAAGGAGGCACAAUCAAGAGCAUAUAUUUUUUAUACUUCUAGUUUAUUAUAUUUAGCUUAAUCAAUUAUUCAAGUGUUUGGCCAUAGUUAGGCCCAUGUCGACUAGAAGCAAAACAUUUUAGGAUUUAAAGUUAAGGUAAUCUUUAUUAUGAAAGCAUUGUAUUUUUUUUAGCAAUAAAUUUAUUCUUGCCUUGUUGAAGUAAUGUUGAUGAAAAUAAUUAAUCACAAUACUUUUAAUUGGCAUUGCAUUAAAUUGUUGCUUCUUCAUUAUUAGUUGAGGUUCAUGCUAAAACUGUUAUUAUUUGUCUUCAAAAUAUUCCCCAUUACUCAUGCUUUAGCCUUUAAACAAGACGGAAGUUGUAUUGUAAAAAAAACUUUAACAAUAUGUGUAUGUUAUACUAUUUAUAUAUUUUAGCGGUUGCAUUAUCCAUUUGAUUGUGUGAAUGAGAUUUGUGAAUGUGAGUGUGAUUAUUUAGACUAUGACUUAGAUUAGUUAAGCUCGGUAUGGCCAAGAACAGAUAAUGAUUGGAUUAUGGUCGGAUACGGUUUUGGAUUCAUCUGUGAUAAUAAGCGAAAGCUGUGACUUUAACAUUUGCUAAUUGAUAAUCUUGAGUAUGUACACUUGUAAUAUUUAUCCAGGCGGUUUGUUUCAAAUGCACUCUUAUAUUGAUCCUCGUUAAUUUUGGGUGGUAGAGUUUCUCUAGUUCAAUGGGUUUUUUUUUCUGCUUUUUUUAGUUUUAGUUUAUGGACUUUUCCUAUACUAAGAGGUUUGACUACACUAUGUUUUGUGAGGUUAGGAAACUCCUCCAGUUUUUAAGUGACUCCGAUUACCCUACAUUUACCUAAAUCCAUCCUAACCUACCUACUAACUAUAGUUUUUUUCUCCACAUUUAUUAAAUUUGAUAUACAGUAUUACGUAACCUAAAAAACAAUAUACAAAAACACAAUGAAACUAAAACUAAACACACCUGUUCUUAUCAGUCCAAAAAAUAUUAUACUAUACUUACUCUUACUAAUCUGGAAAUAAAUACAACACCUGUUCCUUCCUGCUAAUUUAUCCAUAGGAAUUAUUAAUAAUUUUGAUAACUGAUUCCACAAUAUUCAUCAAACUAAACUAAACUAGACAAUCAAUGUACCUAGUUGCCACAAUGAAAAAGUUAUUAAUUUUCAGAGUGACACGUCUGUGUAUUUUACAUCCAACUUUUAUUAUGUGUGUCGUCCACUAUACUGUUCAUUGUGGAAGAUCUCUAUGGAUUGUGUCUGAGAUUUUUAAAUAUAUAGUUGACGUAGUUAGGAUGAAUUGGUGUUGAGAAUGUAUUUUGAAGAAAAAAGUAAUAUAAAAUGUUUAAUUCACUAGUGUUCACCUAGCUACAUGACUGUUUUGUUAAUUAUAUUUUGCACGCACAUACAAUAACAAUUCUCAAAAUGUAAAAAAGAGUUUAGAACAAAAUACUGUACCAACAUUUGUGUUUACUUUCAACUUAAAACCUUUUUGAAGUAUUUGGUUGAGUUGGGAGCGUUUCAUAAACUCCAAAUUCCACAAACUCCAACGCUUAAAAUAUUAAAUGAACAGCGCGUUUCAUAAUGUCCAAAUUUCAUAAGCUCCAAAACUAUAACAUUCAAAUAAUCACUAGUUCACAAUGUCCAAGUUUCACAAACUCCAACGUUUAAAUAUUAAAUAAACAGAGCGGUUCAUAACCUCCAAAUUUCAUAAGCUCCAAAUCUAUAACAUUCAAGUAAUCACUGUUUCACAAUGUCCAAGUUUCACAAACUCCAACGUUAAGAUACCAAAUAAACAGUGCGGUUCAUAAUGUCCAAAUUUCAUAACCUCCAACGGUACAGUCUGGGCCAGAAGUCUCUACAGUGGUUGCCACAGUCAGAUAGCAGGCACCGUUCGCCAGCGCUCAACUACUGAUUAUACGUGCAUUUUAAUGAUUGAAGAACACUCAGCUGUGUGACUCAAAUAUGUGUUAGCACACAAUGUGCAAAUCAAAUUUACAUUUUUAUAUUUUUAAUAGCUUUAAUUCACUGAGUUUCUUAACUGUUCCGUCUCUCAAUUAAAAAGCCACUACAAAUAUCGUAAGAGAUUUUUUUUACCGAUGAAAAUUUUUAAAACAUAUAAAUAUAUUUUAUAAGUAUAUUUUCUAAUAGCUGUUAAAAUUUCAUGAUGAUUACAUCAGUAGUUUUUUUGUUAUGGCACGGCAACCUCUGCAGCGACUUCUGGCAGAGACUGUACCGUUGGAGCUUAUGAAACUUGGAUAAACAUAAACAUAAACUUAAACAUAAACUUGGAUAAACUUGGAGGUUAUGAACCGCUCUGUUUAUUUGAUAUUUAAACGUUGGAGUUUGUGAAAUUUGGACAUUGUGAAUCGGUAAUUAUUUGAAAAUUAUAGUUUUGGAGUUUAUGAAAUUUGGAGGUUAUGAAACGCACUGUUUAUUUAAUAUAUUAACGUUGGAGUUUGUGAAAUUUGGACAUUGUGAAACUGUGCUUAUUUGAAAGUUAUAGUUUUGGAGUUUAUGAAGUUUGGAGGUUAUGAAACGCACUGUUUAUUUAAUAUUUUAGACGUUGGAGUUUGUGAAAUUUGGACAUUAUGAACCUCACCCGUUGAGUUAGAUCAUACAUGGCUUGUAGACAUUUUUAUGAAAAUUGACCUUUUAACUGUACUUCUUUAUAUUACUGUACUGUACUUAGAAUUUAUAAUUUGUAUUUAUAAUAUUAUGUAUAACCUAGUUUCUUUGAGGUUUGUCUAUUACAGUAGACCCCCUCUUAACCGACCCUAAUGGGACCGGACCUAGGUCGGAUAACGCAAAAGGUCGGAUAAAACGGGCAAUCCCUAAAAUCAUAACAUAAUGAAGUGCUAUUUAUUUGGAAUUAUAUAAUCAUUAUUUUGAAGUCAUACUAGCAUUAUUUAUAAAAUAAACUACUCUUAUCUCCUUUUUCAUAUUGAUAGAAAAGUCACAAAUAAACACAAAACACGGUUAAGUCAAAUAGGCCUACUUUCAGUGGAAUAUAUUAUAAUACUAGGCAAGAGUAAAUAAAAUUCAUAUUUUAAUAACUUUAGUACUGCAAUGUAUUAAUUGAUGCUUUCCAAAUACAUUGUAAUACAGUACAGAACCUUUUGUUGACAUUAGAUACAAGCGACCAUUUUGUUACAAGACAGGACGUUUAUUUAUAGCCUCUCACUGGUGUCUCGAGGCACAAAAACUAUCUUGACCUUGGAAUUGUUAACCCCCCAUCCCUGCCUUCCUUACAAGUUGCGUUGUUUGUUUACUCCGGCGAUAAGAUAAUCAGUUCUCAAAAUUGUGAGGCACUUUAUGAUGUUAUAAAUUUGCCGCGCAGAUAACAAAUCAGAUCAGAUGUGCUCGAAUACAGAUAUAGCUACGAACGAUGAUGACAAACUGACAAUAGGCUAUGCUAUAUUUUUUGUGAUCAACACAAAAUAAACAGUCAUAUCCUGUGGAGAUAAGCGUAUGGUUCAGUUCUCAUCGCCCAGCGUGGGAGCGGAAAUGCCGAGAUUCCUAGAAAGCGGCGGUUAAACCGAGCUGCUCUCAAAGCAAGGUCGGUUAAAACAAACUGCAUUAUUUUACGUUCGAAGGCGGAUAAUCCGAUUAUUUGUUAAUACGAGGUCGGUUAAGAGGGGGUCUACUGUAGUAACCUUUGAACUCAGGUGCCUUAUACUUUGUUACCAACUUAUGUGUAAAUAAAAUUUGUAUAGUA